rfam:Streptomyces mangrovisoli strain MTSC 149 19, whole genome shotgun sequence.
GCACUCGGCACGCGGUACGGUCUGUCCGAUAUCGACGACGGCGAGACGGAAGCCGGUGAGAACCCGGCACGGUCGCGCCACUGUGUGCGAGGGCCCUGGAAGCGCUCGCAAGUCAGACCCGUGGCCGUCGUCCACUGCACCAC